UACGUAGGGGGCAAGCGUUGUCCGGAAUCAUUGGGCGUAAAGCGCGUGUAGGCGGUUCGAUCAGUCUGCUGUGAAAGUCCGGGGCUCAACCCCGGAAAGCCGGUGGAUACUGUCGAGCUAGAGUGCGGAAGAGGCGAGUGGAAUUCCUGGUGUAGCGGUGAAAUGCGCAGAUAUCAGGAAGAACACCCGUGGCGAAAGCGGCUCUCUGGAACGGUACUGACGCUGAGACGCGAAAGCGUGGGGAGCGAACAGG
rnacentral:rRNA from 1 species